rnacentral:rRNA from 1 species
UUGAUAGGUUAAGAGCUAAUUAACUGGACGUUACCUACAGAAGAAGCACCGGCUAACUCCGUGCCAGCAGCCGCGGUAAUACGGAGGGUGCGAGCGUUAAUCGGAAUUACUGGGCGUAAAGGGUGCGUAGGUGGUUUGAUAAGUUAGUUGUGAAAUUCCUGGGCUCAACCUAGGCACUGCAACUAAUACUGUUGAACUCGAGUAUGGGAGAGGGCAGUGGAAUUUCCGGUGUAGCGGUGAAAUGCGUAGAGAUCGGAAGGAACACCAGUGGCGAAGGCGGCUGCCUGGCCUAAUACUGACACUGAGGCACGAAAGCGUGGGGAGCAAACAGGAUUAGAUACCCUGGUAGUCCACGCCGUAAACGAUGUCAACUAGCCGUUGGUUAUAUGAAUAUAAUUAGUGGCGCAGCAAACGCGAUAAGUUGACAUCGU